AGAUGGCGACCGGCGCACGGGCGAGUAACACGUAUCCAACCUGCCGAUAACUCGGGGAUAGCCUUUCGAAAGAAAGAUUAAUACCCGAUGGUAUAAUCAGACCGCAUGGUUUGAUUAUUAAAGAAUUUCGGUUAUCGAUGGGGAUGCGUUCCAUUAGGCAGUUGGUGAGGUAACGGCUCACCAAACCUUCGAUGGAUAGGGGUUCUGAGAGGAAGGUCCCCCACAUUGGAACUGAGACACGGUCCAA
rnacentral:rRNA from 1 species